GGCAGACGUGGGCCGCUUUUGCUCGCGGUCACUUCAUCUUAAGUUGUAUAUAUGUGCAGAGCGCGGCGCGGGUGGUCACCUCCGCUGCUGCCGCCACCCGCCCGGCCUGCCUUUGACCCUAUGGGUCACAGACAAGGCAGGGUGAUCGCGGCAAGACCCUGAGUGAGACUAGAUGCGUUACCCAGAGGGUGCGAGGUCGAGUACCUUCCCUGUCCCAUCGCAAACCCAAAGAUCCCCGUUCCUGGAGAUUCUGAUUGAGGUAAACUAACAAAACAUGUAUUGUGCCAGAGAGUGGUAAGCACUGUGGAGGGUUACAGUGGUGUAGGGGAAGACCUGUCGGGGUGGACACUUGGGGAACGCGACGUGGGGGCGGAAUCGGGCCGCUAUUGGCGUGGGCCUCAAGUUCCAGCGGACACGCACUGCAGCCUCUGCGCUUCCCCCACUAUCUGGAAAAGGGGAUGGAGGCGGGGGUCAGCUUCCCAUCCAAUCACAGCUCAGCGUGCCUCGGAGGGCGGGAGGAAACGGAACUCUGCCGGUCAGCGACUUCCGGCCGUCACCACGGAAACUGCCAGCCCCGUGAGCGCAUGGUGUGGCACUUGCCUGCGGAGGGGCCCAGGCGCCACUCCUCUGAUUCUGCAGAUGCUCCCCCAGGAGUGGCUUCUGGCCAAGGCCAAGCCCCUUCUUUGAAACUGCCUUUCAGCCUGUGUUACCUGCACCCAAGUCACCCACUGGAGGGUUGGGGGAGAGGGGCUGUGUGAAGGACCUGGACAAUGGGAUGGAAGGGGAAGAUGGCUAGGGCAAAACAGGCAAUGGCACUGGGUCCUGGAGACGCUGCCCUGAAGCCUGCAGUAUGCUGAACUUAUGCUCUCAGCAUCUGUCCACUUUCACCUAAGCUGCGUUUCCACUGGUUUGCUGCUGAAUCUACUCCUGACUGAAACCUUCCAAUGUGCAUGGGGCCAGGGUGGGAGAAGCCUUCAGCUCUAGCGAUGGGAAUGAUCACCACAGGGCAGGGAAACUGGCCCAGGGCCUGCAGCCUUUGCUUCUCAGACUGGCUGGGGUUCCAUCUGCAGGGUCCUACACCCUCAUCACCUGCUGCUUGUGAACACGAGAACAGGAAAGUCUUGAAAAAUCUGAAUUUCCAGGUGAAAUCUUCUAGUUUUAAAACUAGGAAAUGGUUUCCUAGGUGUAAAGGAGUUUUACAAAGACA
rnacentral:lncRNA from 10 species